rnacentral:lncRNA from 1 species
AAAUGUUCCAUUACCAGCUGAAGUUCAUUUGAAGUUAUUUAACAUCUAAAAACUGCCCUCAGAGCCCCCCACCCAUUCCAGUCCACAUCUGUUCCGUAUCUGUGACGCUGUCAGCAAGUCAGGUUCUCAGAGCCUUUGUCCCUCAGCACCUAUUACACUGAGGUAAUCUGGAGGCCGUCCACUCCCGGUUGCGACUGGGUUACCCAUCGCCCCUGUCCCCUCAAACAUCAAGGCCUAGCUCUGCCUUCACCUCCUGCAGAAGAAUGCUCAUUUUAAUAGAUGGCUUUUUUGGUCAAUUAAUUUCUUAUAGGCAUC